GCCGUGCUCACCUGGCGGCAGGGCGGAAAGGGAGAGGGCGGGAGAGCCCCAGGUGCGCCGAAGGGGGGCGGAGAGGAGGGGCGCGGGGUUCGGGGCACCCCGAGCGUCACGGCUCGGGCCGGAAGCCUGGCUUCUCGUAUCUGGUGCAGCGAGGGGACUAAUGGGAUGAUCGGGCCUUCCUGUCCUUGAGUUUUUGCUGCAACUCCUCCUGCGGCGCUCACGCUGCCACGACGGUUGAAACGGGCUUGGCAACGGCAGGGGCGUCUGCGUGCCCGAGCCGUGCGCGGAGACGCGGCGUCCCCGCAACCCCGCCCGCGGCCCGAGAGCGGACCCCGCCGCCGCACUGCGCCACCGCCGCGAGCCCCGUGCCGCCCGCGCUCACCUGCCCGCCCACCUGCCCGCCCACCUGCGGCCUGCGGCGACCCUGCAAACCGGGGCCAGCCGCUGCCAUUCGGUUUGACUUCUGUCUCAACCCGAGAUGCCCUGUGAAUGAAUGUGCGGUCGGUUGUUUUGCAGGAGGAGGCGGCCGGGGAAAGGAAGCGUGAAGAUGUGGACAGGAGCGCGGCUGAAGCACCCGAGGCUUGACCCUGUUUGGCAUCAGCCCGGUGUCCAAGCGGGUUAGUGGGCCGGUCACUGGGCAGACCCGGUUCCUCGAGUGCAAACGCGCGAAUCCCCGAGUGUCGGCAGGUCAAAUUACAGGACAUUAUUGGAAAGCACUGUGUACAUUGUACACGGUGGCACAAUGGUUAGCAGCGACCGUUGGGGUUUUACUGGUGCCUUUACUCUGAAAUAAGAUUGAUACGUGUCUGCAUAAGCAAAUUAAAGAACUCGGUUCACAUGCCACGUUUGGCACAUCUCAGCAGUGUACGGGCCAAAGAUCAGUGUAGCUAGCAGUGUCCACUGUGCUCGCCUCGUAAUGAGCACCUCAAGUGACUGAUCUUUCAGGGAGGAGGAAGGACAGGAAGGUGGAAAGGUUUGGUAGGUCCCGUAUCAAGUCUUUCUCUAUCCAGUGGCUGCCUGCCUCAAUCUCCAGUUCAUUUUACAACCUGCACCCAGGCAAUGGAAAGCUCAUAAAACUGGAUACUCAAGAUUCCUGAAGUGUUCCACAUGCUAGCAUGAUGCCGACCAGACUUCCUUGGACAGACAACCCCACCAAUGUGUCCUGGAGCCCCGAUUCCCCAGAGCCCUUCCCCACUAGGGAAAGAGAGAGGCAGACUGGGAAUAUGGAUCGACCAGUCAAUGUCCAUGUUCAGCGGGGAAGCAAUUACAGAAGCCAGACCUUCCACCUUGUGCAUUCCACAAUGACUUUGAGUCCAUAAUCCCAGAAGGUUAAAGAAUAAGAAAGCUGUGGUCCAGGAGGUGGUGCAGUGGAUAAAGCAUCGGACUCUCAAGCAUGAGGUCCUGAGUUCAAUCCCUGGCAGCACAUGUACCAGAGUCUAGUUCUUUUUCUCUCUCCUCUUAUCUUUCUCAUUAAUAAAUAAAUAAAAUUUUGAGAAAAAAAAGAAUAGGAAAGCUAUCAGGGGAGGGGAUGGAAUACGGAGUUCUGGUGGUGGGAACUGUGUGGAGUUGUACCCCUCUUAUCCUAUGGUUUAGUCAAUGUUUCCUUUUUAUAAAUAAAAAAUUUAAAUAAAAUAGCUAAAAAAAAAUAAAACAAAUGGGUCUUGAACAAGAUCACAAUGGCUUCAGAUGAUAGUAGAUGAAAAGCAUGGUGCACUAAUAUCAAGAAUUAAGGGAAAAAACAACUGUUUCCCAGAUUUCUCCUGGUUAUUUCUGGGAGCUAGUCUCUAGAGCAAUUCCAGCAUGGACACUGACUAACUUGUGUCAACUCACCUCUUGGGGCCUAUGCUUGCUACAUCAGUAAGACAGGAAUGGACAAAGAAAAGAAAGUAAAGAAGGAAGACAGACAGAAAGGUAGGAAGAAAGA